GUGAAAUGAGAUCCAGUCACUGAACCUACAUUGUCAUUGGCGUGCGAAGCGGUUGUAAGGGGCCAGGCAGCCAGUGCAGGCUUGAUCCCAGUCAUGUCACCCCUUUGCUUCUAUCUUACCGUGUCUUGAGAUGUCUUGCACAGCUGUCUUCGACACACAUUCAUGAGAGGAUCACAACACACAAUUCACAGAAUUCAACGCGUGUUCACGACAGUACCACGACUGUUGUAUUCCAAAGAUGAACGAAGGUCU